rnacentral:pre_miRNA from 1 species
AUGAAGAUCACCUGGGGAUCUUGUUAAAAUCCAGGUUAUGAUUCAGUAGCUCGGAGGUGGGGCCCGAGAGUCUGCAUUUCUGACAAGCUCUGAGGUGAUGCUGAU